GACGAACGCUGGCGGCGUGCUUGACACAUGCAAGUCGAACGGAAAGGCCCUGCUUUUGUGGGGUGCUCGAGUGGCGAACGGGUGAGUAACACGUGAGUAACCUGCCCUUGACUUUGGGAUAACUUCAGGAAACUGGGGCUAAUACCGGAUAGGAGCUCCUGCUGCAUGGUGGGGGUUGGAAAGUUUCGGCGGUUGGGGAUGGACUCGCGGCUUAUCAGCUUGUUGGUGGGGUAGUGGCUUACCAAGGCUUUGACGGGUAGCCGGCCUGAGAGGGUGACCGGCCACAUUGGGACUGAGAUACGGCCCAGACUCCUACGGGAGGCAGCAGUGGGGAAUAUUGCACAAUGGGCGGAAGCCUGAUGCAGCAACGCCGCGUGCGGGAUGACGGCCUUCGGGUUGUAAACCGCUUUCGCCUGUGACGAAGCGUGAGUGACGGUAAUGGGUAAAGAAGCACCGGCUAACUACGUGCCAGCAGCCGCGGUGAUACGUAGGGUGCGAGCGUUGUCCGGAUUUAUUGGGCGUAAAGGGCUCGUAGGUGGUUGAUCGCGUCGGAAGUGUAAUCUUGGGGCUUAACCCUGAGCGUGCUUUCGAUACGGGUUGACUUGAGGAAGGUAGGGGAGAAUGGAAUUCCUGGUGGAGCGGUGGAAUGCGCAGAUAUCAGGAGGAACACCAGUGGCGAAGGCGGUUCUCUGGGCCUUUCCUGACGCUGAGGAGCGAAAGCGUGGGGAGCGAACAGGCUUAGAUACCCUGGUAGUCCACGCUGUAAACGGUGGGUACUAGGUGUGGGGUCCAUUCCACGGGUUCCGUGCCGUAGCUAACGCUUUAAGUACCCCGCCUGGGGAGUACGGCCGCAAGGCUAAAACUCAAAGGAAUUGACGGGGCCCCGCACAAGCGGCGGAGCAUGCGGAUUAAUUCGAUGCAACGCGUAGAACCUUACCUGGGUUUGACAUGGAUCGGGAGUGCUCAGAGAUGGGUGUGCCUCUUUUGGGGUCGGUUCACAGGUGGUGCAUGGCUGUCGUCAGCUCGUGUCGUGAGAUGUUGGGUUAAGUCCCGCAACGAGCGCAACCCUUGUUCACUGUUGCCAGCACGUUAUGGUGGGGACUCAGUGGAGACCGCCGGGGUCAACUCGGAGGAAGGUGGGAAUGACGUCAAGUCAUCAUGCCCCUCAUGUCCAGGGCUUCACGCAUGCUACAAUGGCUGGUACAGAGAGUGGCGAGCCUGUGAGGGUGAGCGAAUCUCGGAAAGCCGGUCUCAGUUCGGAUUGGGGUCUGCAACUCGACCUCAUGAAGUCGGAGUCGCUAGUAAUCGCAGAUCAGCAACGCUGCGGUGAAUACGUUCCCGGG
rnacentral:rRNA from 1 species